rnacentral:rRNA from 1 species
UACGAAGGGGGCUAGCGUUGUUCGGAAUUACUGGGCGUAAAGCGCGCGCAGGCGGUUUUUCAAGUCAGUGGGGAAAGCCCGGAGCUCAACUCCGGAACUGCCAUUGAAACUGUAAAACUUGAGGACGAGAGAGGUGAGUGGAAUUCCCAGUGUAGAGGUGAAAUUCGUAGAUAUUAGGAAGAACACCAGUGGCGAAGGCGGCUCACUGGUCCGGUACUGACGCUGAGGUGCGAAAGCGUGGGGAGCAAACAGG